GAUGAAGAACGUAGCGAAGUGCGAUAAGUAGUGUGAAUUGCAGAAUUUCGUGAAUCAUCGAAUCUUUGAACGCAAAUUGCACUCUCCGGUUUUCCGGGAGAGUAUGCCUGUUUGAGGGUCAGCCUAAAUAAAUUCGGCUUCGUUGCUGUUGUUUUCGCGGUAACGUUUUUAGUCGGGAUUUGGGUCAUCUUAAACCGAAAGGUUUUUAAGCGACUUAAAAUUUUUUUACGAUCCCACGAACGUUUCUAAGUACUUCUUACACGUUCAAGGUAUCGAAAACCCCUAUUAGGCGUGGCCGUCGUAUCGGAUCGCGUCCAUAAUAUUUAUUCUUUAACUGACCUCAGACAGGUAAGAAUACCCGCUGAACUUAAGCAUAUCAAAAGCGGAGGA
rnacentral:misc_RNA from 1 species